UACAGAGGGGGCAAGCGUUAUUCGGAAUUACUGGGCGUAAAGGGUGCGUAGGCGGUUCUUUAAGUCUGCUGUGAAAGCCCCGGGCUCAACCUGGGAAUGGCAGUGGAUACUGGAGAGCUAGAGUGCGGUAGAGGGUAGUGGAAUUCCCGGUGUAGCAGUGAAAUGCGUAGAGAUCGGGAGGAACACCAGUGGCGAAGGCGGCUACCUGGACCAGCACUGACACUGAAGCACGAAAGCGUGGGGAGCAAACAGG
rnacentral:rRNA from 1 species